rnacentral:rRNA from 1 species
UACAGAGGGUGCAACCGUUGCUCGGAAUUAUUGGGCGUAAAGCGCGUGUAGGCGGCUUGUUAAGUCGGUUGUGAAAACCCAUGGCUCAACCAUGGAAGUGCGUCCGAAACUGGCAAGCUAGAGUCUUGACGAGGAUGGCGGAAUUCCCAGUGUAGAGGUGAAAUUCGUAGAUAUUGGGAGGAACACCGGUGGCGAAGGCGGCCAUCUGGGAAGGUACUGACGCUGAGACGCGAAAGCGUGGGGAGCAAACAGG